CACGUAGGGGGCAAGCGUUGUCCGGAUUUAUUGGGCGUAAAGAGCUCGUAGGCGGUUCGGUAAGUCGGGUGUGAAACCUCCAGGCUCAACCUGGAGACGCCACCCGAUACUGCUGUGACUAGAGUCCGGUAGGGGAGCGUGGAAUUCCUGGUGUAGCGGUGAAAUGCGCAGAUAUCAGGAGGAACACCAGCGGCGAAGGCGGCGCUCUGGGCCGGAACUGACGCCGAGGAGCGAAAGCGUGGGGAGCAAACAGG
rnacentral:rRNA from 1 species